GUUGACAUCAACAUGGCAUACAGAAUCUUUCUCGUGGCCUUGGUGAUCGUCUCUCUCAUCGCCUCCAUGGUCGCCGCCCAACCGCCUCCCAUAUGGACCCUUAUGGAAGGAGGCAAGCCCUCGAUUGAAGGUUUGCCAUAAAUUUUAUUUAUGAUAAUAAAAUCAUGUAGUGUA